AUUGAACGCUGGCGGCAGGCCUAACACAUGCAAGUCGAGCGAGCGGCGGACGGGUGAGUAAUGUCUGGGAAACUGCCUGAUGGAGGGGGAUAACUACUGGAAACGGUAGCUAAUACCGCAUACCAUCAGAUGUGCCCAGAGGGGAUUGGCUAGUAGGUGGGGUAACGGCUCACCUAGGCAACGAUCCCUAGCUGGUCUGAGAGGAGGACCAGCCACAUGGGAACUGAGACACGGUCCAGACUCCUACGGGAGGCAGCAGUGGGAAAUAUUGCACAAGGGGCGAAAGCCUGAUGCAGCCAUGCCGGGUGUGUGAAGAAGGCCUUCGGGUUGUAAAGCACUUUCAGCGGGGAGGCGUUACCCACAGAAGAAGCACCGGCUAACUCCGUGCCAGCCGCCGCGGUAAUUC
rnacentral:rRNA from 1 species